UGGGGAAUCUUGCGCAAUGGGGGGAACCCUGACGCAGCGACGCCGCGUGCGGGACGGAGGCCUUCGGGUCGUAAACCGCUUUCAGCAGGGAAGAGUCAAGACUGUACCUGCAGAAGAAGCCCCGGCUAACUACGUGCCAGCAGCCGCGGUAAUACGUAGGGGGCGAGCGUUAUCCGGAUUCAUUGGGCGUAAAGCGCGCGUAGGCGGCCCGGCAGGCCGGGGGUCGAAGCGGGGGGCUCAACCCCCCGAAGCCCCCGGAACCUCCGCGGGUUGGGUCCGGUAGGGGAGGGUGGAACACCCGGUGUAGCGGUGGAAUGCGCAGAUAUCGGGUGGAACACCGGUGGCGAAGGCGGCCCUCUGGGCCGAGACCGACGCUGAGGCGCGAAAGCUGGGUGAGCGAACAGG
rnacentral:rRNA from 1 species